rnacentral:rRNA from 1 species
GACGAACGCUGGCGGCGUGCUUAACACAUGCAAGUCGAACGGAAAGGCCCUGCUUUUGUGGGGUGCUCGAGUGGCGAACGGGUGAGUAACACGUGAGUGACCUGCCCUUGACUUUGGGAUAACUUCAGGAAACUGGGGCUAAUACCGGAUAGGAGCUCCUGCUGCAUGGUGGGGGUUGGAAAGUUUCGGCGGUUGGGGAUGGACUCGCGGCUUAUCAGCUUGUUGGUGGGGUAGUGGCUUACCAAGGCUUUGACGGGUAGCCGGCCUGAGAGGGUGACCGGCAACAUUGGGACUGGGAUACGGCCCAGACUCCUACGGGAGGCAGCAGUGGGGAAUAUUGCACAAUGGGCGGAGGCCGGAUGCAGCAACGCCGCGUGCGGGAUGACGGCCUUCGGGUUGUAAACCGCUUUCGCCUGUGACGAAGCGUGAGUGACGGUAAUGGGGAAAGAAGCACCGGCUAACUACGU